rnacentral:rRNA from 1 species
UACGUAGGUGGCAAGCGUUGUCCGGAUUUACUGGGUGUAAAGGGCGUGUAGGCGGGAAAUUAAGUCAGAUGUGAAAGUCCAUGGCUCAACUGUGGGAGUGCAUCUGAAACUGAUUUUCUUGAGUACUGGAGAGGAAAGCGGAAUUCAAGUGUAGCGGUGAAAUGCGUAGAGAUUUGGAGGAACACCAGUGGCGAAGGCGGCUUUCUGGACAGUAACUGACGCUGAGGCGCGAAAGCGCGGGUAGCAAACAGG